CCUACGGGAGGCAGCAGUGAGGAAUAUUGGUCAAUGGGCGGGAGCCUGAACCAGCCAAGUAGCGUGAAGGAUGACAGCCCUCUGGGUUUUAAACUUCUUUUAUCAGGGAAUAAAGUGUACCACGUGUGGGUUUUUGCAUGUACCUUAUGCAUAAGCAUCGGCUAAUUCCGUGCCAGCCGCCCCGUCAAUACGGGAGAUGCGAGCGUUAUCCGGAUUUAUUGGUGUAAACGGGAGCGUCGGCGGUUCCAUAUGUCAGCGGUAAUAUCGUGCGGCUCAACUGUACCGUGCCGUUGAAACUGUGGGACUUGAGUAUGCGCAGGGUACAUGGAAUUCGUGGUGUAGCGGUGAAAUGCUUAGAGAUCACGAAGAACUCCGAUCGCGAAGGCAUUGUACCGGAGGAAGACUGACGCUGAGGCUCGAAAGUGCGGGUAGCAAACAGGACUAGAUACCCUUGUAGUC
rnacentral:rRNA from 1 species